rnacentral:rRNA from 1 species
GAUCCUGCCGGACCUGACUGCUAUCGGAUUGGUACUAAGCCAUGUGAGUCAUUGUAGCAAUACAAGGCAUACGGCUCAGUAACACGUAGUCAAUCUGCCCUAUGGACGUGGAUAACCUCGGGAAACUGAGAAUAAUCCGCGAUAGAUCAUAAUGCCUGGAACGGUUUAUGGUCCAAAUGAUUCGUCGCCAUAGGAUGGGACUGCGGCCUAUCAGCUUGUUGGUGAGGUAAUGGCCCACCAAGGCUAUUACAGGUACGGGCUCUGAGAGGAGAAGCCCGGAGAUGGGUACUGAGACACGGACCCAGGCCCUAUGGGGCGCAGCAGGCGAGAAAACUUUGCAAUGUGCGAAAGCACGACAAGGUUAAUCCGAGUGGUUUCUGCUAAAGAAACCUUUUGUCAGUCCUAGAAACACUAACGAAUAAGGGGUGGGCAAGUUCUGGUGUCAGCCGCCGCGGUAAAACCAGCACCUCAAGUGGUCAGGAUGAUUAUUGGGCCUAAAGCAUCCGUAGCUCGUUUUGUAAGUUUUCGGUUAAAUCCAUGCGCUUAACGUAUGGGCUGCCGGGAAUACUGCAUAACUAGGAAGUGGGAGAGGUAGACGGUACUCGGUAGGAAGGGGUAAAAUCCUUUGAUCUAUUGAUGACCACCUGUGGCGAAGGCGGUCUACCAGAACACGUUCGACGGUGAGGGAUGAAAGCUGGGGGAGCAAACCGGAUUAGAUACCCGGGUAGUCCCAGCUGUAAACUAUGCAAACUCAGUGAUGCAUUGGCUUGUGGCCAAUGCAGUGCUGCAGGGAAGCCGUUAAGUUUGCCGCCUGGGAAGUACGUACCGCAAGUAUGAAACUUAAAGGAAUUGGCGGGGGGAGCACCCACAAGGGGUGAAGCCUGCGGUUCAAUUGGAUUCAACGCCGG